CUGGUAUUGCAGUACCUCCAGGAACGGU
rnacentral:piRNA from 2 species